rnacentral:lncRNA from 1 species
CCUUCCCUACCUCCCUUCCUUUUCCCUUGAGUAGGGGUAAAAUACUCAUUAUGGAAUAGAGUUCAUUUUUUUUCAAUUUAUUUCCAAUUCUUAUAAAUUUUAUUUUUUGAAUAUUUACACAUUAACUUGCUUUCAAAAGUUAAAAAUAUAUAAAAAGAUAUAUUCAGAGAAGUGUCGUUCCUUCUGUAUCCCUUUCACGCUUUCUCUACUCAACCCUUAUAGGUAGGCAUCUUCAUUGUUUUUUGCUUUUUGUUACUUCUUGUUGUGUAUAUUUUAGUUGAGAUAAGCAGAUAUACAUACUUUCUAAUUUUUCCUUAUUUCAUAUAUGAGAAGCAUACUAAUAUACUCUUUUGCACAUGGUUUUUCUUCAUUUCAGUGGAAUUCAUCAAUCCAUUACAGAGGUCUUUCUCAUAAUUUUUUUAUAAUUGCCUAAUACUGCAGAGCGUGUCUAUACUAUAGUUGAUGCAACCACUCUCUACACUUGGACACUUAAGUCGUUUCCAAUAUUUUGCAAAAACAACAAAUGCUUCAGUGGACAACCUUAUGUUUAUAUAUUUUUAUAUUGUUGGUUUAUCUUCAGGAUAAAUUCCUAGAAGUGGGAUUGCUGAGUCAAAAGCAAAUUCACAUACAGCUUUGUUAGGUAUUGCAAAUCCUCCUCUGUAAAGACUGUACCAUUUCCUAUUCCCAUCAGCAAUGUAUGAGAGUGCCUGUUUCUUUAUAGCUUGGCCAAAAGAAUGUAUCAUCAAGCUUUUAAAUUUGCCAGUCUGAUGCUAACUAAUUAGAGACAGUAGCUCUUUAUUUGUAAUAGAUGCUGAAAAUACUUUCUCCUAGGGGUCACUUAUCUUUUAACUUCUUUGCUGAUGCUAUUUUCCUUCAUGAAUGUUUUGUUUGUUUGCUUUUUGACAUGUAAAAGCUUUUAAUUUUUAGUAGGCAAAUUUAUCUUUUGUUUUGUUGUUUCAGAAUUUUUAAUAAUCACUCAAAAGCCUUCCUCUGCACCCAGGUUUUACAGGGAUUUAGUGAUGUUUUCUUCUGGUAUGUGUAGGUUUUUUUCACUUUUAAAUCUCUGAUGCAUUUAGAGUUUAUUUUUGUGUGUGGUAUGAGAAAUGGAUCUAAUUUUACCUUUUUCAAAAUGGCUAUUCAGUUGUCUCAACACCAUUUAUUAUAAAAAGACCGUAUUUAUCUCCCUGUUUUGAGAUACUAGUUUUAUUUUACACUAAAUUUCUACAUGUAAUUGGAUUAUUCUGGAGUUUGUAUGUUAUUCCAUUGAUUUCUGUUUUAUGCAGGCGGAUGCUGUGUUAUUUGGUACAUAAAUAUUCAUAAUUGUUAUAACUUCAUAGUAGUAAUGGCUUCUAAUGUUAUAAUUUUGUCUUAUUUAAUUUUUUUUGGCUUGAAGUCUACUUUUUCUAAAAACGUAUGAGUUUUGCAUUUACAUGAUUUUAAAUGUCACAUGUACUGUACUCUAUGAUUAACAUAUUUUUUGAUCACUAGCACAGCUUUCUACUAGAAAAGUACAAUAAAAUGUAAUUAAUUGGAGGUAUGAUGUGGAGAGUUUGCAACCUCUGCUGUCUACCUGACAUGGCAACUCUAGAGAAUCAAGCAGAUAUUGCAAUUAAUAAAUUACAUAAAUGCUCUUUUGCAUUUGCUGUGGUGGCUGUAAUUGUAUACAGCAAGUAGCUGGGUUUUGUUACAUAAACUCAGAUUAAAAUAGUCACUCAAUAUUUUUGUGCAGAGAUUUGUUUUUCUGUCCCUUUGGUAAUAUUUAAGUUUUGAGAAGCUUUAAGAUCUUAUAAGAGGACAAAGUGGAUAUGUAUGCCUAAUUAUUGCUUCAGAAGAGAAAAUUUAUGUAAAUAAAAACAACUAAUUUUUUUUUCAGUUUGCAAGAGCCAUACAUGUGACAAAAAUGAAGCCCAGUGAAGUGACCUGCCUGCUCACAUAGCCAGUUACAAAAUCAUUCCUAUCACACAGGUUGUUUAACGGCUAAGUCAAGUGUUCUUUUCACACUUGCAUAUUAAGUCUAUUUCUGUACACAUCAGAAUGCCUCCCCUUUGCAUACACCUUGGCUAACAGAAAUGCUGUGUGCCCAGAGAAGCCUAGGUGACACACAAUGUGUUAUUUUUAUCCUUUUUUUUUCUGCAGGCCACUUGCAGGGGAAACAAAAUCUUAAAGUGCACCGACCUUGUCUUUAGGGGAGAAGGAAUGGGCGAAAGGGAUUUCAGCAUCUGAAAGUAACAUUGUCUGAUGUCAAUUAUAAUGAUGACUAAACAGGUAGGUGAAGUGUGGUGCUUAGAGUCCUGAUCACCUGGGCUCAUUCCUUCUGUUUAAUCCAGAGGACCCAGAUGUGCUCACCACCAAUGUCCAGGCUGACCAAAGAUCCUACAGCCUCAGGUAGGAGGAUGGAUGGCAAGCUGACAACAAGCAGAUUUCUAAAGUGUUGGAAAGGCAUUUUAGGUCCCCUGUCUGGACUAUAUGUAUAUAUAUGUCUAUAUGCGUAUGUGUGUAUAUACACACACAUAUGUAUAUAUGUAUAUACAUCUAGGUAUGUAUGUGUCUAUAUGCAUGUACACACACACACACACACAUACAUAUAUAUGUUUUUUUAAGGAAAAAUGGCCAAACCAGCCAGGCAGCAAAUCAUUCUGAUGUAAAAGCUGUUAAGAAUCAUGGAGAAAAAACUCUCCCUGCAUGCUGGAGCUUACUGCUUACUGGCACUUGUAUUAGAACAGCAGCAGCAGCAGGAACAGGAAGCAGAGGCUAAUCAGAGAAAAGGAAAAAAAACACACUCUGAAAAUGCUAAAAUGGAGCAAUAGCAGGGUCCUAGAACAGGGUGUUAUGUGUUUUGGUAAUAAAUAAAUAAAUAAACAAACAAACCAACCAUGUAGCAAUGGAGAAUUUAAAUCCCUAGGAGUCUUGGAAACUGUGCAAGGCUGCCUCCACUCCCUCCCCCAGUUCUAAACCUUAUAAAUCCCAGGAGAACUCUUUGUGCAGAGAUAAUUUCUUAGACUACUUAGAAGGUAAAUUCAUACAUUUAGAGAAAGGCAUGUGAUGAUGGUGUAUUUAUGUGUGAAAGAGGAACAAGGAAUCUACUGGUCUCUCCAUUUUCAAGGAAGAAAAUUCAAAGACAUUUCACACUACCACCUACAGACCAGGACAAUGCCUUCCA